rnacentral:tRNA from 1 species
GAGGGUAUAGCUAAGUGGUAGAGUGCAUGCUUGCCGUGCAUGACAUCCUGGGUUCAAUCCCCAGUACCUCCA